UACGGGAGGCAGCAGUGGGGAAUAUUGCACAAUGGGCGCAAGCCUGAUGCAGCCAUGCCGCGUGUAUGAAAAAGGCCUUCGGGUUGUAAAGUACUUUCAGUCGUGAGGAAGGUGUUAAGGUUAAUAACCUUAGCAAUUGACGUUAGCGACAGAAGAAGCACCGGCUAACUCCGUGCCAGCAGCCGCGGUAAUACGGAGGGUGCGAGCGUUAAUCGGAAUUACUGGGCGUAAAGCGCACGCAGGCGGUUUUGUUAAGUCAGAUGUGAAAUCCCCGGGCUCAACCUGGGAACUGCAUCUGAUACUGGCAAGCUUGAGUCUCGUAGAGGGGGUAGAAUUCCAGGUGUAGCGGUGAAAUGCGUAGAGAUCUGGAGGAAUACCGGUGGCGAAGGCGGCCCCUGGGACGAGACUGACGCUCAGGUGCGAAAGCGUGGGGAGCAAACAGGAUAGGAUACCCGGU
rnacentral:rRNA from 1 species